rnacentral:rRNA from 1 species
AUGCAUGUCUAAGUCCAAGCUGUGUUCACACGGCGAGACCGCGGACGGCUCAUUAAAUCAGUCGUGGUCCAAAUGGGCCAGUGCAAAUCCUACUUGGAUAACUGUGGUAAUUCCAGAGCUAAUACAUGCAACUGAUAUCCCGAAGGCUGGUGCUUGCUUGUCUUGCGCUUCGCUCCGACGGAUGCUUUUAUUAGACCAAGCCGCUGAGGACUUGAGGGUGUUAAAACCUUCCUGUUCGACUCGUGUGAUGGUGACUCUGGAUAACCAAUUCUGACAAGCGCACGUACUCCUCUUCUGAGCGAGACGGCGCUGCCACUUUCGAGUGUCUGCCUUAUCAGCUAUCAACCGUUCGUUAUGCGCGACCGAUGGCUUUGACGGGUAACGGGGAAUCAGGGUUCGAUUCCGGAGAGGCAGCCUGAGAGACGGCUACCACGUCCAAGGACGGCAGCAGGCACGCAAAUUACCCAAUCCCAGCAAAUGGGGGAGGUAGUGACGAAAUCUAACGAUGCGGGCGCCCUUUCUGGGGCCCCGCAAUCGGAAUGGGCACUUUCUAAAACACCUGUUGAGAACCUACUGAAGGGCAAGUCUGGUGCCAGCAGCCGCGGUAAUUCCAGCUUCAGCAGCAUCUAUUAAAGUUGCUGCGGUUAAAAGGCUCGCAGUUGAAUGUCUGUAUCGAGCGCAGGUCAGGUGGACGUUGGGGCGUGGAAGUACGGGCAGUUGGAUGUGCGUGCUCGCGCGUUGUCACACUCCUUCUCUUCGGAGUUGCCUGUGUGUGUUCUUCGUGUGUCUCGUGUGUUCUUCGGCUUUUCCACACAC